rnacentral:tRNA from 1 species
AGCAGAGUGGCUCGGUGGAAAGAGCCCGUGCUUUGGGAGUCAGAGGUCAUGGGUUCGAAUCCCAACUCUGCCA